rnacentral:pre_miRNA from 1 species
AUUAUUACGUCAGUGAAGGAGGUCGUGACAAGCGGCAAUCCUGGUCUGGCUGAUGCUCCAAUUGCACUUGUCCCGGCCUGCUCAGACUGACCUCUCACGUC